UACGAAGGGGGCUAGCGUUGCUCGGAAUCACUGGGCGUAAAGCGCACGUAGGCGGAUUGUUAAGUCAGGGGUGAAAUCCUGGAGCUCAACUCCAGAACUGCCUUUGAUACUGGCGAUCUCGAGUCCGGGAGAGGUGAGUGGAACUGCGAGUGUAGAGGUGAAAUGCGCAGAUAUCAGGAAGAACACCCGUGGCUAAGGCGGCUCUCUAGUACGGUACUGACGCUGAGACGCGAAAGCGUGGGGAGCGAACAGG
rnacentral:rRNA from 1 species